UUAUAAGUGAAUAUCCAAAUUUUGGCUAUAUACACCCCAAAGAAAUAUUCAGAUGAAAUUUAUUCUCACAAAUUUGAAUUAAAUAAUAUGCAAUACCUUUACUUUCAAUUCUUAUAUUCCUACGUACAUAAAACUUUUAUCAUAAUUUGUUAUAGAAUUAUGAGGGGUCAAUAAAACUUAUUAGGAAAUUCAACAUAUGAUUUACAUAAAAACUAUUGGGAAAGCCUCCAAACAUUGAGCGUUAGACACAUUCGAAUUGAAUGUCGAAAAAGUUUUUUAAAACAGUUU
rnacentral:lncRNA from 1 species